UCUGGUAACAAUAACAGGAAGGCCACACCCGUUCCCAUCCCGAACACGGCAGUUAAGCUUCCUCGUGCCGAUGAUACUUGGACGGUGACGUCCCGGGAAAGUAGGUAGUUGCCAGAU
rnacentral:rRNA from 1 species